UGGAGCUUGUUGUAGUUAUUUGUUUUUGUUGUUGGUUGAAGUUGAAUUGCCAUGGGGGAUAGUACACCGAAUACGAUGAAUCUUGAUCUGAAUUUGGGACCUGUUGAAAGUCCUACUGAUGAUUCAGAGUCUGUUCCUGCAACAUUUCCCAUUGAGGAUAUGAAUUUAGAGGAUUUGUUAGAUGGUUAUCGAUUUAGGGAAGUGGUUAGGCAAAGGAGGAGCAGAUGGCGG
rnacentral:misc_RNA from 1 species